rnacentral:tRNA from 1 species
GCCCGGCUGGUUCAGUUGGAAGAGCAUAUGACUCUUGAUCUUGAGGUCGUGAGUUCAAGCCCCAUGUUGGGUG